rnacentral:miRNA from 1 species
UGACUGCUCUGUUACCACAGGCCUGGUGGUGGUGGUGGGAGGGGGGGCGGUGGGGAGAGGGGGCAGGGAUG